rnacentral:misc_RNA from 1 species
AGCUCAGGGAAGAUACACCAUGUAAAGAUUGGACCAUUGGAGGCAGCCACAACUUAUUACUACAGAUGUGGAGGAUAUGGCCCUGAAUUCUCCUUCAGAACCCCUCCUUCUGCUUUCCCCAUUGAAUUUGCUGUGGUCGGUGAUCUAGGGCAAACAGAAUGGACUAAAUCAACACUAGAACACGUAGGCAGUCGAGAUUACGACGUAUUUUUGCUACCAGGGGAUUUAUCUUACGCAGAUAGCCAGCAACCUCUCUGGGACUCAUUCG